GAACACAUGCAAGUCGUGGGAGAAGGAGUCUCUUCGGAGACUCUGGAGACCGGCGGAUGGGUGAGUAACGCGUAGGCAACCUGCCCGGGAGACGGGGAUAACCCACCGAAAGGUGAGCUAAUACCCGAUGAUGCAGCGGCCCCGCAUGGGGACAGUUGUUAAAGGCCUUCGGGCGCUUUUGGAUGGGCCUGCGUGUCAUUAGCUAGUUGGUAGGGUAAUGGCCUACCAAGGCGAUGAUGACUAGGGGGUCUGAGAGGAUGAUCCCCCACACUGGGACUGAGACACGGCCCAGACUCCUACGGGAGGCAGCAGUGAGGAAUCUUGCGCAAUGGGCGCAACCCGACGCAGCCACCCCCC
rnacentral:rRNA from 1 species